AGUGAACGCUGGCGGUAGGCCUAACACAUGCAAGUCGAACGGCAGCACAUUAAGAGCUUGCUCUUACGGGUGGCGAGUGGCGGACGGGUGAGGAAUACAUCGGAAUCUACUUUUUCGUGGGGGAUAACGUAGGGAAACUUACGCUAAUACCUCAUACGACCUACGGGUGAAAGCAGGGGAUCUUCGGACCUUGCGCGAUUGAAUGAGCCGAUGUCGGAUUAGCUAGUUGGCGGGGUAAAGGCCCACCAAGGCGACGAUCCGUAGCUGGUGUGAGAGGAUGAUCAGCCACACUGGAACUGAGACACGGUCCAGACUCCUACGGGAGGCAGCAGUGGGGAAUAUUGGACAAUGGGCGCAAGCCGGAUCCAGCCAUACCGCGUGGGUGAAGAAGGCCUUCGGGUUGUAAAGCCCUUUUGUUGGGAAAGAAAAGGAGCAGGUUAAGACCCCGCUGUUCUGACGGUACCCAAAGAAGAAGCACCGGCUAACUUCGUG
rnacentral:rRNA from 1 species